rnacentral:lncRNA from 1 species
AAAAAAAAAACACGUUAAAAUAUUACUUUAUUUUAAAAAAAUAGCUAUUUUUUUUUGUUCCUUUUUUUUUAUAUUAAAAGGAUAAGUCAAACUAUGAAAAUAUGAUUCUUAAGAGAGAAACAGAAUGCCUACAAAAAAAAAUCAAGAAUUUAGAAGAUGUUUAUAUCGAAAAAGAAAAUAAAAUUAUGGAAAUAUUAGAAGAGAAAGAAGAUCUUAAAGAUCAUAUAUUCGAAAUAGAAAACGAAAAUUCCAAACUAAGGGAUAAUAUUGCCAAGCUUAAUGAAAGAAUAUUAGAUUUAACAGAUGUGUGUAAAACAUACAGACAUAUGAUUAAAACUAGAAACAAAGAAUUACAACAAAGUGAUAUCUUAAUUAUAGAGAAUAAGAACUUAAGAAAUAUUAUUGAAGAUAUGAAGAACCAUAAAUUAUUAUUAGAAUCGAAGAUCACAAAAAAAAAUAAAAUAAUUGAUGUGAUUAAGGAAAAAUACCAAAAAAAUAUAUCAAGAAUAUUAGAAAAGUUUAAUGAAAAGGAUAAAUGCAUUAACGAGUUUCGAAGUUAUGUUAUUCACGGUAUGAGAACAUAAAAGAAAAAAAAAAAAAAAAUUCAUACAAAUUAUUGUAUUAAUAUUAGGAAUUCAUUUUUUUUAACUGCUUUCUUAUAAUUGCUUUUUUAUUAAUGCAUAUGCAAUGUAAAUGGUUUAUAUACAAUGUAAAUGGUUCAUAUGUGAUCACUGGCAGAAGCACACAUUUAUAUAUACAUAUGUACAUGUUUGUACAUACUUUUUUAAUUUUUCUUUUUAGAGUUAAACGGUUUUAAGAUGGAGCUUCUCCAAGAAACUGAUAAUACAUGUGGUAAUAAGAAUGUGCAAGAUAAUAAAAUUUUAAAUAUAUGUUCUUACUUGGACA